UCACAGGCUUCUCCGGUUGCACCCUCCUCCACCCGGUAGUGGCUCCAUACUUGUUUGGAAUGUGAGCUUACACACGAAAAUUUUUAGGUUUUCUCCAAACAUAUGUUGUGAAGGAUGUUUGAAGAAUUGGCGUCUGGCUGGAAGGUGUUCAAGGCAUACAUAUCAAGAUGCCUUUUGUAAAAAGCUGCACAUUUCCUGUUUCUAGUUCUUUUUGCGUUUGUUGAUUCUCGGCGUGUUAGUCCGCCGGCAGUUAUAGGCUUUUAUUGCAGGUUUGCAUGUUUGAUAUACUUCUGUGUUAGCUGUAGGGAUCCCCCUCACUAGUGUGUACGUUUUCACUAUACCACUAAAAAGAGUUAAUUACCCCCAAAAUAAAUAAUAAAAAAAAAAAAAA